CUAGUAUAAGCAAUUAUACCGUGAAACUGCGAAUGGCUCAUUAAAUCAGUUAUCGUUUAUUUGAUAGUACCUUACUACUUGGAUAACCGUGGUAAUUCUAGAGCUAAUACAUGCUGAAAACCCCAACUUCGGAAGGGGUGUAUUUAUUAGAUAAAAAACCAAUGCCCUUCGGGGCUCUUUGGUGAUUCAUGAUAACUUCUCAGAUCGCAUGGCCUUGCGCCGGCGACGGUUCAUUCAAAUUUCUGCCCUAUCAACUUUCGAUGGUAAGGUAUUGGCUUACCAUGGUUUCAACGGGUAACGGGGAAUUAGGGUUCGAUUCCGGAGAGGGAGCCUGAGAAACGGCUACCACAUCCAAGGAAGGCAGCAGGCGCGCAAAUUACCCAAUCCCGACACGGGGAGGUAGUGACAAUAAAUACUGAUACAGGGCUCUUUUGGGUCUUGUAAUUGGAAUGAGUACAAUUUAAACCUCUUAACGAGGAACAAUUGGAGGGCAAGUCUGGUGGACGUUUUUUCAGCAUCCCAAAAUUCUGCUGACGCCAGAGAUAGUCGGGCGCCUUUCGAGGUGUUAUGCCGGCUAGUCGAGUACCUACUAAUUUGAUGGGGAGGUACCGGCGAGACAACCUGGAUCGGGGAAGGCUAAGGCACACACACCUAAGUGUGUUGCUAUGCUAAUCCCGAGCAGAGCUACCACAGAGCGAUUUGUGGAUAGCCUGUGUAGAGCGCGGAAAGGUGUCGGCCAACUCAUGUAAGUUGGCUUAAGGGACGUGCCAUUCCCAUCCGAAAGGGUGGCUGCCAGCAUAAGCGCCCAUCACGCAAGGGCUGGCAGGUUCAAGCUUUUUUGCUUGAAGUAUCAUCAAAAAAAGGCCAGCAGCCGCGGUAAUUCCAGCUCCAAUAGCGUAUAUUAAAGUUGUUGCAGUUAAAAAGCUCGUAGUUGAACCUUUGGCCUGGCUGGCAGGUCCGCCUCACCGCGUGCACUUGUCCGGCCGGGCCUUUUCUUCUGGAGAACCGCAUGCCCUUCACUGGGUGUGUUGGGGACCAGGACUUUUACUUUGAAAAAAUUAGAGUGUUCAAAGCAGGCCUUUGCUCGAAUACGUUAGCAUGGAAUAAUAGAAUAGGACGUGCGGUCCUAUUUUGUUGGUUUCUAGGACCGCCGUAAUGAUUAAUAGGGACAGUCGGGGGCAUCAGUAUUCAAUUGUCAGAGGUGAAAUUCUUGGAUUUAUUGAAGACUAACUACUGCGAAAGCAUUUGCCAAGGAUGUUUUCAUUAAUCAGUGAACGAAAGUUAGGGGAUCGAAGACGAUCAGAUACCGUCGUAGUCUUAACCAUAAACUAUGCCGACUAGGGAUCGGGCGGUGUUUCUAUUUUGACUCGCUCGGCACCUUACGAGAAAUCAAAGUGU
rnacentral:rRNA from 1 species